rnacentral:rRNA from 1 species
AGAGAUGUGUGAUGACGCAUAUCAAUAAGCGGAGGAAAAGAGACUAACAAGGAUUCCCUUAGUAACGGCGAGUGAAGCGGGAAGAGCUCAAAUUUGAAAUCUUCAAGGUUCUACCUUGACGAAUUGUAGUUUAUAGAAGUGUUUUCUGUUAGUGGAGUGGCAAAAGUUCUUUGGAAUAGGACAUCAUAGAGGGUGAGAAUCCCGUAUUUGGUCAUUCCUCCUAGCGUUGUGAUACACUUUCAACGAGUCGGAUUGUUUGGGAAUGCAGUCCAAAAUGGGUGGUAAAUUUCAUCUAAAGCUAAAUAUUGGCGAGAGACCGAUAGCGAACAAGUACCGUGAGGGAAAGAUGAAAAGAACUUUGAAAAGAGAGUUAAACAGUACGUGAAAUUGUCAAAAGGGAAGCGUUUGACACCAGUGUUGUUUUUCCGAAAAUCAAUUACGAAUGUUUUAGUUUUUAAGAAGUUAUGACUUCAUCGGCUUGCUUCUCUCUUUAUGAAACUUUCUUAAUGCACUUUUCGGUUAACAAGUCAACAUCAAUUUCUUUUGUUGUAAAAGGGUAUGAGGAAGGUGGCUUUCUUUUCGGAGAAAGUGUUUAUAGCCUUGUAGCCUCUGCAAUCGGAGAGAUUGAGGUCUGCAGCGUAGAUCCUUCGGGGUUAGAUACAUUUGUGCUAAGUUAUAGCCUUUCAUAGACAACUUGUUGACUAUGAUCAGUCAUGUAGCUUACUCGCUUAUGUCUAUUUUACCUACGCUUAGGAUGUUGACGAUCAGCUGAGCGCG